GUGGAAUCUGCAGGCUUUUAUAUUUUUUUAACCUUUUUCAUUUUGGCUUCUUAGCUGCUGGCUUAUGUGGAAGAUUUUCCCCCUUUUGUUUUAACACAAAGCCAAUAAAAAGGGGGGAAGUCAAAGCUUUCCCUAAGCAUCUCUGCAAUCAGAUAUUUCUCUCAAUAAGUUGAUCUGCAGAAGAUUGAAAGCACAAAGCAAUGUUUUCCAGUCACUUAGAUUUCAUGAAAGUGUAAAUCCUCACUUUCUUGCUCCCUUUACAUUGAUGUCUCACUCUAGUGCCUUAGGGUUCCUUUUUUUCUUUGCCACCUGUUGAAAAUAAGAGUGCAAUGUGGCCAUUUAGUUUUCAUAGAGCAAGCACACUGAUUAUAUAGUGCUUUGCAAUUAUUUUUAUGAGUUACUCCACCCAAAAAUCAUAUGAGGUUAGGAAGUUAAGGGCGUACUCCUUCCUCUUUCUCAAACAUGGGCACACAGAUACACAUGGGGAUCAUAAGACUGUGGACUUGGAGAUGGAAGAGAUCUUAGGGGUUAUCUAGUAUGCUCCCCUCAUUUUAUCGAUGAGUAAACUGAGACCAGAGAGGAUGAGUGAAUUGCUCAAAAUCAGGAAACUGAGGCUCACAAAGACUACAAGAUUACACAGCUCCUUAGUAGCAGAUCUUCUGAAUCUCAGUUCAAUUUCAUUUUUCCUUCUCUUUAUGCCUUGGAAUGUCCCCUUAAAUUUGUCCAGAAUCAAACAGGGAGGCAAGGGUGGGAUUAAUAUUCGAAAUCAAACUUGGUUCCUUCUUAACAAAGUCAUUUUCUUCCACUUUAUACUUUUACAGUAAAAACAGGACUCGAAUCUAUCUGGGGUAUUGCUAAAUCCCUUUGCAUAGCUCUCUGAAUCUUCACCUUCUCCACUGGGACAUACUUUACUUAAAAGUUAACUUUGUUAAAAAAAAUAGAAAAAAAAUCUUCAAGAUUGAUCUCUUCCUGUUAUUGUUAAAGAUGCUUUCUAUGGUCUUUUGGUAAAUAAAUACCUUUAAAGGGAAAUAAACUGCA
rnacentral:lncRNA from 1 species